UUACGGCCAUGUAACCGGGUAACACCGAUUCUCAUACGAUCACCGAAGUUAAACAACGUCGAGCCAGAUCAGUACGUAGAUGAAGGGUGACCACAGGGCAAUACCAGGUGUUGUA